rnacentral:rRNA from 1 species
AGUGAACGCUGGCGGUAGGCCUAACACAUGCAAGUCGAACGGCAGCACAGUAAGAGCUUGCUCUUACGGGUGGCGAGUGGCGGACGGGUGAGGAAUACAUCGGAAUCUACUUUUUCGUGGGGGACAACGUAGGGAAACUUAUGCUAAUACCGCAUACGACCUACGGCUGAAAGCAGGGGAUCUUCGGACCUUGCGCGAUUGAAUGAGCCGAUGUCGGAUUAGCUAGUUGGCGGGGUAAAGGCACACCAAGGCGACGAUCCGUAGCUGGUCUGAGAGGAUGAUCAGCCACACUGGAACUGAGACACGGUCCAGACUCCUACGGGAGGCAGCAGUGGGGAAUAUUCGACAAUGGGCGCAAGCCUGAUCCAGCCAUGCCGCGUGGGUGAAGAAGGCCUUCGGGUUGUAAAGCCCUUUUGUUGGGAAAGAAAAGCAGCAGGUUAAUACCCCGCUGUUCUGACGGUACCCAAAGAAUAAGCACCGGCUAACUUCGUG